UACAUAGGGUGCAAGCGUUGUCCGGAAUUAUUGGGCGUAAGGAGCUCGUAGGUGGUUUAUCACGUCGGAUGUGAAAUUCUGAGGCUCAACCUCGGACCUGCAUUCGAUACGGGCAAACUAGAGUGUGGUAGGGGAGACUGGAAUUCCUGGUGUAGCGGUGGAAUGCGCAGAUAUCAGGAGGAACACCAAUGGCGAAGGCAGGUCUCUGGGCCAUUACUGACACUGAGGAGCGAAAGCGCGGGGAGCGAACAGG
rnacentral:misc_RNA from 1 species